rnacentral:rRNA from 1 species
UGGGUUUGACAUAUAGGUGUUAGCGAGGUGAAAGCCGAGUGACCCUUCGGGGAGCCUAUACAGGUGUUGCAUGGCUGUCGUCAGCUCGUGUCGUGAGAUGUUGGGUUAAGUCCCGCAACGAGCGCAACCCUCGUCGUUAGUUACAAGUGUCUAGCGAGACUGCCGGUGAUAAACCGGAGGAAGGCGGGGACGACGUCAAGUCAUCAUGGCCCUUAUGGGAUGGGCUACACACGUGCUACAAUGGGGGGUACAAAGAGCAGCCAACUGGCAACAGUGCGCGAAUCUCAUAAAACCUCUCGUAGUCCGGAUCGGAGUCUGCAACUCGACUCCAUGAAGUCGGAAUCGCUAGUAAUCGUAGAUCAGCUAUGCUACGGUGAAUACGUUCCCGGGUCU